GUGAACUUUUGUAACUCUUGGAUGUUUGCAUCAUUUGAUUAUAGUGGCAAUUUUGGAGCUGUUUAUUAGUGUCUCUAUUGCAGUAUUAAUUCUGACCUUUAUUAUUGGCCACCAUUAGGCUGUUUGUGCGGGGGCGCCACGUCCGCAGCGAUCCAGCGCGCUGCCUGGUGGCCCUCUCCGCCGUCGGACGUUGCCCCUCCUUACGGCGCACUUUGUUUUCUCUCUACGCACAGACGCCCGUGGAAUACGCAGCCGCAGGUUCCUCCGGUACUGCCGACACCCGCGGGACUAUGGGAGAUAUCGCAGUGGACCGCACUCCCCUUUCGAGGGCUGCCCUCGUUCUUAAGAAGACCAGCUUGGCGACCGGAAGGUUGCAUGGAUCUGAUCAUUGGAGAUCCCAGGUGUACUUUUCUCAGAGCAGAGAUAGUGAGGCUGGAAGUGGCCCGUGUGCCCACCGUGCUCUUGGCUCGGAAGAGUGAGCGCUGCCCGAGAAAAAGGAAGAUGAUGGAUGUGUUGGGAAGACACGGCACACGCGGCGGCCCCGGAAAUCAACGGAAGCGAACGUCGGGCGGCAGGAGAAUUUCUGCGAACGGCUUCCCCGAAAGCCUGCGAUGGAGCCGUGUGCUGGAGCAAGGUAUUUUUACUCUGUCAUCGCGCCGCUUUGUUCCAAGGAGCGCCCCAACGUGUCCGAAUCGGGCGCCGCCGGCCUCGUCUCCGACCAGCGUGCGUGGAAGGGAGUGGAGGUGGAGCAGAGCCACAGUGACACGUUGUAGCUCAGGUGUAAACUCUGGAAAGGUGACAAUUGUCCAGAUUGUGGAGAAGUGCGGCGCUGGGCUCCUUCAAUCCCCCAAAGUGCUCUGAUGGCUCCCUGAAAAUGAGCUGCCCGCGAAGGGUGGAAGAAACGGCGCUACGAACGGCCAGGGUGCUGCGGGUAUGGAAUGACCCUGUUAAUCCGAUCAUCCGUCAGCCGCUGGCGCAGAGGAGCACAUACAUCCGAAAGCGAGGAGUCGUGCGGACAGCGCUGAGACGUGUGGACUGCACUGCGACAGGUCACCCGGUGGGGUUAGACGCCUUUUUGGACCAUUGCUGUCAACAACGCUAGACACAGCUCACAUAUGUAACCACGAGAAGCAGAAUAAAACACCUAGAGGCUUCGUUCUUAUCUUGUAA
rnacentral:lncRNA from 1 species